rnacentral:misc_RNA from 1 species
GAUGAAGAACGCAGCGAAAUGCGAAAAGUAGUGUGAAUUGCAGAAUUCAGUGAAUCAUCGAAUCUUUGAACGCACAUUGCGCCCGCCAGUAUUCUGGCGGGCAUGCCUGUUCGAGCGUCAUUUCAACCAUCAAGCCCCAGGCUUGUGUUGGGGACCUGCGGCUGCCGCAGGCCCUGAAAACCAGUGGCGGGCUCGCUGUCACACCGGGCGUAGUAGAUUUUAUCUCGCUCUGGGCGUGCUGCGGGUUCCGGCCGUUAAAAAACCCUUUUAACCCAAGGUUGACCUCGGAUCAGGUAGGAAUACCCGCUGAACUUAAGCAUAUCAAUAAGCGGAGGA